AACUCAGUAGCGCUACCUGAGAGAUACAAGAAAAUUAUUUGGGAUGUAAUUUGUUUAGCUAAUUUUUUAUAGUAGUUUUAUCUUCUAUUUGAGUCAGUUUGGAUUAAUAUCCACUUGUUUGUAAGGUUGUUAACUCUCUUUUUUAGUUUCAUUGAUUGUUUAUGCAUUGUCGGUUAUGUUCCUACAGAAAUUAGGAAGACAUUGAUUGUACUAAUUAUUUGCCUAUAGUGGAGUUAUUUCUUUGGUCUCGACGACCCGUG
rnacentral:lncRNA from 1 species